UGUUGACCCUACCUAGAUGUGAA
rnacentral:piRNA from 1 species